UAUCCCUCUAUUUUAUAUUAUGAUAGGCGUUGUCGUUUCUGGAAUGUACUAGACAACAGUAAACCUCAGCUUACUACAGUGUUACAAGACAGCUUGAGCUGCUGUUUUUCUCCUGAUGGUCGAGUCGCUGCUGUUGGAUCAAAAAAUGGAACGGUUCAUUUUAUUUCAUACCCUGUAACGGUGCAAAAACUAUCCAACCUCUGUCGCCACAUCAUUCGACGCAUUAUCCGAAACACAAAUGAUAUUGAUCGGUUAUACGUACCUCUUCCACUAAAGCGUUUCCUAAUGUACCACAACCAUGAAACGUUAGAGUGAAGGAAGCGCAUGGAUCAGUCUAUAUUCCAAUGGACAUUAAAAGUGCAAAUAUUGUAAAAAUGGAAUCUUUUAAGAAAGGAUUGCCUGAUUUGCUGACCAAUAACGUUAUGGAUAUGUUGUUGCUGUGAAUUCAGUAGCUAGGGAGUACACUUUUAAAUGUCUUUAUUUUUUUGUUCAAGUAAUGUAUGAAACAAUUACUGUUUUUACUUAUUUUUAUUUUUUCGGAAUACAAGAAUAAGUAUUCAAGAAUUUUUAAAAUAUGAAGCAGCUACUUAUAUUUAUCAUGGUUCAUAAAUAUAAUUUAGACAAAGUAUUUCACAUAUAUAUUUUUUUCAAUCAAAAGUUGCGAUGCCUGUUGUUAGUUUUAACAUAAUCAUUUCAUCUUUAGUUUUAUCCAUAAUUAAUAAUUAUUCUGAAAUGAUUUUAUUUAAAUUAUGUUUACCAAAAAAAAAAUAUAUGAAUGUAUAUUGCAAUGAUAAAUGAAUAUCAAAACCAGACAAUUGUAUCAGAACAAAAUUGAAUCUUAUAAAGAUUGUUUUUAAAUAACUACCCUUAGUAACAUAAUUAAAUAUUUUGAACAUAAAAAACAUUUAAAUGCUGCUAUACAUUGAAAUGUAAUGAGAGGCAGGAUGAUAACGCAUUUACACAAGGGAACGCUCACAGUGGGGUAUCUGGCGGUUCAAUUCGCCCUCUAAUGCGAGACCACCUUUGGGACCAGGAAAUUUGUGGUGUUCUCGGGGUUGGUCUCUAAUUAGAGGGCUAGCUUUGUGUUAAAAGGUUGAAGAUUGUUAUUUGGGUCUUUGCAAAAGUGGUCUCAAAUUAGAGGGGUCUCGGAAUUUGAGGGGUCUCGAAUUGGAGGAUGCACUGUAUGAACAGGGGAGGCUGAUCAAGGGUAGGGGGGUGCCACAAUGGAAAAGUGAGAGGAUGCUGUAUGAAGGAUCAAAAUGAAAUAAGGUCAUUUUUAACUACUUAGAUCAUAAUUGUUUUGUGUAGCAAAUUUUAAGGAGAGGAGGCCCAUAACUUUUUCUGGGGACUUUCCCCUUCUCCCGUAAGUCUCACACCUGUUACGCCACUGACCACUGAAUGGAUUACUAAGAGAGAUGCUUUUUGACGUUUUGGCCUAAUCUAAUUUAAGUAUGAAAACGUGAUGGGUAAACAAUGCCAAACAAAACUGUGAAUAUUAAACCCCUAGGAACCUAGAGCACUGCUUUUCAUUUUCCAGGGGACCCACCUUGACAAUCCAUUUAUGCCAACAACCAACCUCCUAUUCACAAGCUUUCUUGAUAAUAAAUAAUGAUAAAACAAUAGCCAAGUCCCAGAUAUCAAAAGAAAUGCUUGUCCAAUAUAUUUAUCAUAGGAUAGUAUAGCAUAGGAGUCUUUUUGGUGUGAAUCACACCAAGGAUAACAGUCCACUGAGUCCAAUGACUUGUUUCCAGUGGGAUCCUUCUGGUGGUGGCUUCAUACUCAUUUUUCAUUACUUAUUCAUAUUUAUUUGUGGCAGAUUUAUUAAUUGGAAUGAUGGAAGGCAGGAGAUGGAGAUGCAGAAAGUUGAUCAACCCAACCCCACAAUGGUGGGGCUGUGGUUUUUAUAGGCAUGGCACGUCUAGAUGGUGCAAAAUAGCACUCUCGGAGUUGAAUAUUAAUGAUUUUUUCCUUUCCUGUAUCUUGUGAUCUGCUAGAGAAAAUAUUAGCAGCCCAAAUUUGGGUGGUGAUCCACGAUUUGGGAAUUGUUGGUCUAGAGAAAGUGGGGUUUGUGGAACAUGUUCCAUAGCAUAGUGAAGAGACUACAGCGAAAAAUGUCAUAAUAUCUUUCUGUACAGUGAUAUGAAUGAAUUCAUUAUAUUGUAUUGAGACACAGGUGGUCAUGUACCAUAUGUUAGGCGUGCAUGCUUUAAAAGCACAAUAUGUACAAUGAAAUAUUUUAUUGAAAUCCAUUUUCAAUUAUGGUUUGAAUUUAUGGUAAUGGAUCAAAAAAAGUACGUUCUACCUUCUAAAAGGGUACACAUGCCUGUAUGUUUACACUUGAACAAUAUUUUUGUUUUCAUCAUCAUGUGACAAUCUGGGACCUCGAUAGUUGCAUACUUGUCAACUCUAUUCCAUUUAGUGUACUCAGGACUUUAUAGCACAAUUUAUAUAAUGGACAAUUAGUUAUCACUUUGUAGUAAAACCAAAGACAUCAUUUUUCAGAACAAUCACAUUACCAGUAAUGAAAAACCCCACAAAGUCAGAAUUACUGUGGACCAGUUGUUUCUAGCAGGGGAGGGUAUUGCAAAAUCCGUAGUUAAAACUGAAGAUUGUAUUAUGACUAAUAGAAAGGCAUCAUUUGUAAAUGAAAGUGCUAAAAAAUAUAGUGUUAAGCACUUAUCCACCGUUUUCUUGAUCAUCCUAGUGCUUUUUUGUACUCUGAUAUUCCUGUUCAAGAAAACAUUUAAACCAAACUUAAAAUAUAUUGUUGAACUUAGGACUUUAAACUCACUUUUGGGCAAAAGAAACUUGAAAGUAUUGGCAGUGCUUCCAAGAAAUAUCAGUCUGGUGUGGGUGGGCGCUGGGAGCGAGUGUUUUAAUUUUAAUAUGGUCUCUUUUGUGUUUUGUCUUCAUUUAAUUUUCUGAAACCUUCCAAUAAAAUGUUUUUUUCUUGAUGGGGGAGGGGGAAUUGGGGUCAUGAUCGAAUCCGUCUUACCUUAUAAUGGUAUCCACAUAGAGAGGGUGAUGCACGCCCAAGUAUUGUGUAUGACAAUUAUUUUUCUUAAUGCAAUUUAGGGGGGUGCAAUCACACCAUCUGUAUCUGCCCCAGCUGUUUUCAUAGUUUCAUUCAUUUAAUCAAAUUUAUUGUGAGUGUUUUCAGCGAAACCGGCACAUAAAUGUUCAUUAUUAUUAU